rnacentral:rRNA from 1 species
UACGAAGGGGGCUAGCGUUGUUCGGAAUUACUGGGCGUAAAGCGCGCGCAGGCGGCUAUCCAAGUCAGUGGUGAAAGCCCGGAGCUCAACUCCAGAACUGCCUUUGAUACUGGCGAUCUUGAGUCCGGGAGAGGUGAGUGGAACUGCGAGUGUAGAGGUGAAAUUCGUAGAUAUUCGCAAGAACACCAGUGGCGAAGGCGGCUCACUGGCCCGGUACUGACGCUGAGGUGCGAAAGCGUGGGGAGCAAACAGGG